GUAGUCCUAGAAAUGCACUGUUUUAAACGUUUGGGAUGAAGCGUGAUGGCGCAGGCCUACAGUCCCAGCACUCGACAGGCUGAGACGAGAGGAUCCCAAGUUAAGGCCAGCCUGGACUCCACAAUGAGACCCUCUCUCAAAACACACACGAGCGGCGUUGGUUUACUGCAAGCAGGCGGCAGCUGAGUCUGUGGUCGGUUUGUGGGUCCUCGCCCGCGGCGGCGGCUUCUCCGUGCCUACCCCGUCCCCCUCCUAGCUGCGGAUCGCGGUCGUGGCCAGGCUGGAGCCCACCCUCGGAUAACAGCAGGGCCGCUGAGCGAGGACCCGAGGCGGUCAGGGCCUUGCACGGGCGCCCGGGCUCCACUCGGUCCUGGGUCCGCGCGUGGAGCCCGCCGGAGCCGGGAAGGCGCCGCGCUCCGAGUCCGCGUCCGCGACCCCGGCCGAGCCCUCGGGUCCCCCGGAAGGGCGCGCUGGGCGGGGCGCGGCCAGGGCCCGGGCGGGACGGAGAGGCGGGGAGGUCGCUCGGCUCUCGCAUCCCGGGAGUUCCGAAGAGCUCGCUUUGCAGACGGCGGCUUUAAUUCUUUUCUCUUCCCGAAUGGUGACGUUCUCCAUGGGGCAACGCAACUGGAGCGCCGAGUACGUAAAGCGAAGCGCGGGGAAAGAGAGGGGAGGGGCCCGGCGGGGGUCGGCGCGCCGCUUCCCACGCCCGGCCACGCCCCCAUCCGCCCCACCUCCGGGCCGAGCCACGCCUCUGCCCCGCGAGGCUUGGGGCGGGUGGUGUAGGGGGUGUUCCGCAUUUUGAUUGGCUGCGCUGGGACUCACGUGGAUGUGCUGCGGGCGCGGCAGUUUCCCGAGCUCUGACUGGCCACAAAGGGGCGGGGCGUCCUGCUCGGGCUGCUGCAGGAGGAGUCACGACCCGGGACCGGGACGGGCGGACCGCACCGGGGCGCAGCCAGGAGCUCCCUCGCCAGGAGCAGCCCGGGCCCUUCCUCCGUCCUCGCGAGCGCCCGCGUCGGUUUGAGGUCCGGCGGGUCGUACAGGUCACAGAGGGGCCGCGUGGGCGCCGAGCGCUCCGGAGGCGGCCGGGCCGGCCCCACUGGUUCGGCUCCAGGAGCAGGCCCGGGCCGGGAGCAGGGCCCAGGCGGGCGGCCUCCAGCGCGUUCCCGGCCCCGGACGGCGGCCGGGGGACUUGGCGAGUUCGUGUCCGUAAGUCUGGAGUACUCCGCGGGCGCCGCGAGGCCUCACAGGAACCCGUCACCGCCGGCCGGGCUGCUGCGCCUCCCCGCUUGGCCGGGCCGCCCGGGCCCAGCUGAGCCCGCGCCCACCCGAGAUGCCCAGGAUGACCCGCGUGCCUUGGACGCUGCUGCUGCUGCUGCGAUCACGACCCCACGGGCCGUGUCCCCUUAGAGCAGCGCAGUGGGCGGCCACCUACGCACCUCCGUCAGCACACUGCACCCUGACAACCGGAAGCCAGUCUGGGAAAGAAAACAAGAGGACAGUAGAAAAGCUCCGCGAGUUUUCGGUUGACGUCAGGAGAAUCCGUAGAGUCAAAGGAUGGGUGCUUCUGGAGGAGGAGACCUACGUGGAAGAGGUGGCGAGUGUUUUGCGAGAACUGGGUGCCGACGCAGCCACAGUGGCCAGCAUCCUGGAACGCUGCCCGGAAGCCGUGGUCUGCAGCCCGACUGCGGUCGCCGCCCAGAGGGAGCUAUGGCAGCUGGUGUGCAGAGGUGAGCUCGAGUUAGUCAGGCUGAUAGAGCAGUGUCCAGGGGCCUUCUUCACCAUCGGCGACCAGGAGAACCUCAGGCUGAACAUUCAGUUCUUUCAGGAGCUGGGACUGAGGAGUGUGGUUAUCAGCAGGUUUCUGACAGCUGCCUCCAGUAUUUUCCAUAAUCCUGUGGAGAAGAAUAAGCAAAUGAUUUGCUUUCUCCGGGACAGUUACCUGAGCAGAGGCGGGUCUGAGGCCAACAUGAAAGUUUGGCUACUGAAAUUAUUAAGCCAGAAUCCAUUUAUUUUGUUCAAUUCUCCUGCGGCCGUGAGAGAAACACUAGAAUUUCUCCAGGAGCAAGGUUUCACGGACUUGGAAAUACUUCAGCUUCUGUCCAAACUCAAAGGGUCCCUUUUUCAUCUUUGCCCAAGAGGCAUACAGAACAGUAUUUCCUUCGCGAAAAAUGCUUUUGAAUGCACAGAUCCUGACCUGAAGCAGUUAGUUUUGAAAUGCCCUGCUCUUUUGUAUUAUUCUGUUCCAGUUUUAGAAGAGCGACUUCGAGGGUUAGUGAAAGAAGGGAUUUCCAUAGCUCAGAUAAGAGAGACGCCAAUGGUUCUUGAGUUAACACCACAAAUAGUUCAGUACAGAAUAAGGAAACUAAAUUCCUUAGGCUACAGAAUAAAGGAUGGACAUCUAGCAGAUCUAAAUGGUACAAAAAAGGAGUUUGAGGCUAACUUUGGCAAAAUUCAAGCCAAAAGAGAAAGGCCUCUGUUUAAUCCCGUGGCACCAUUAAAUGUUGAAGAGUGACUGACAGCCCAGUGAAACUUUUAUAGCGAUUAUGCACUUCUGGCUGCUUGAGUCACCCAUUGCUUUAAGGGCCUCCUUAGUUUCUGAAUUGUGUUUAAAGUCACUUCGAAACAUGAUCUCUCCUUCAUGUGCUGCAUUUUAAAUUUCAAGUAGUUGCAUUUAUUUUAAAUAAAGUUGGUAACUUUAUCCUUCAACUGUUACUCCUAAAACUUAUGUACUAAUGAACUGGUGCAUCUGUGUGACAUUUUGUAAGUGAAUAAUUUCUAAGAAACUUACUUCAGCCUACAGGCAGUUUCCAUUCACGCAGCACAUUUGUCUCAGAUGCAAAUCUACCUUCCUCACUACCAGCCUGGAACUCCACUCCCCUGUGGUCUGAAUUUUGCAGGUUAGCCUUAAGUAAAAAAUUAGCACCUUCUGCUACACUUCUUAAGAAAACAGCUUCAUCUGAUUUGGGGAUAAAUAUCUUGGAGAAUCAAGUAUUAUCCAAAAAAUAUAACCAAAAGAAUAGCCUAUUUGGGGGCUCAUUUUGGUAAAACUGGCCUCAUCUUUCUGGGGGACACUGACUCACAUUCAUCAUGUCCCUCUACAAGGAGGAAAGAGCUUAGCAGGCCCGUGCCCGCUGGUACAGCCCAGAUUUAUUAAGAUCUAAAAGGAUUCUGUUCAAACCUUGUGAACAGAAGAGAGGGAGGGACUGGCGUAACGGAAGUCACACUGCUGCCUUACCAAAACUGGAAUGAGUGCAAACAAAUUUGAAGUUUCUAUGAAAAUGUCCUGUUCUGUAGCCAGGCAUGGUGGUGCACACCUGUAAUCCCAGUGCUUGGGAGGCUGAGGCAGGAGGAUCACCAUGAGUUUGGGGCCAGCCUGGGCUACAUAGCAAGUUCGAUGCCAGCCUGAACUACAAAUCAAGACCCUCUCUCUCAAAAAAAAAAACACUUUCCUGUAAGGUCAGACCAAGGCAGGCAAAGUCUUAGCAACAUGGGAUGAGUUUGUUGCCAUCUCGGUGCAGAUGGGCCAAGGGCGAGGGCAUUGGCACGGAGAGGAGGGUGCUCGUGCUUGACAUGGGGCGUUUUAGGUAGGGGAGGGGCACUGCUGAAGAGGGUGGAAGAGUUUCGACUCCCACAGGUGAUGGCUGCUGGCUGCUUGUUAUCCCCGUGGAUUCGGGUAGCGGGUCUGCUUGGCGGGGGUCCAACUUGGGGGACCUGUCACUCCUCUGUAAGAUUUCUUAAUCUGAAAUUACCAAUUCAUAAUACAUUUUCAAUAAAUGCAGCUUUCUAGGAAACUUUCUGAAAAAUCCAGGUUUGCCUGCACGGAAAAAGGUGCAGCGGUUGGUGCAGACUGGAGUGGUUGAGUCUCCAAGUUUCCAGGUCUGACUUGUUCCAAGAUGAACAUUACCCAGAUAAGGACUGGCUCGCUGGCUUUCAGCGGUGAAAUCUGACCUUUCUAACUUACACUGCCACAGCUGGCUGACCCUGGACAUCUGUGCCCAGCGUUUGCACCGCCUUUUAAGUAUGCUGAAAACACGGGGAGGCACGCAGGUGCAUCCUCUGUCCCUUCUUUCAGCAAAUGCAAGUCGCUGCUCGCCAGACCUGUUCAGUUGGAGCCCCGGGCAGCACCUGCUUAAGUCGCUGACCGGAGGCCCUGGGGGUGUUUGCCAGGCACAGGACAGAGGCAGAGGCUGGACGGAGCGCACUGGCAGAGCGCUUGUCACACUCACAUGGUCGGGUUCCAUCCCCAGCACCACAGAGCAAGAAAUAGGAGGAAAACCGAGCAGCCAGGAAGUCCAGAGCUGGACUGCGAGACGAGACCGGACGGGGUCAGCCCGAGACAGGCAAGCGCCUCGUCCUGUGGCUCCAGUGCGCUGUCCUUCGCGCUGUGGCGUGGUCGCCCGUGGCUUCUGGGUGUGGUCACCGCGCAGCACGGCGUCAGCUGCGCCCGGGUGGAGGCUCAGCAAUGGAGCUCUCGGCUGGAGGUGAGCUGGCGAGGCCUUGAUGAGGAGGAAGAGGACGAGGACGAGGAGCUGACACUGCCUGCUGAGGCAGAGGCACCGCGCAGGCCGGUUCGCGCUCCUGAGGCUCCGGGCUGCGGAAGGGGAAAGGCCAGGGGAAGGGGGCUGCGAAGACAACAGACAACGCGAGUCCGGGAAGGGCAGGAGCCACAGUCAGGUUUUCAAGCAAGUUUGCUGUCAAGGAAAUUUAAGAGGAGCUUGAGACUCCGCACCUUUGUUUAGAAAAGCUGUUCAUGGGCAGGCGGACCCACGGCACACCCACGGCUGCAGACAGGUGGGGAGGGAGCUGCGGGAGAGGGGCGCGGGGCUGGAACAGUGGAAAGGAGCCCGCAAGGGGGCAGGUCAGAAAGCUCGGCAAAGCUGAGCGUGGGAGGGAGCACGCCGACUGGACCUCCUCCUAGGCCGGCCCGCCCGUCUGUCCGUUUCAGCCGGGACGCCAAAGCGGGCUGUAAGCGGUGCAGGGUGUGACGAGCUAGCCCCACAGCCGCCGGCGCGAAGCCGACCUGCCCGGGUCAGAGUAACUCAACAAUUAAACCCCUAAUGAGAAGAGUGCCCUACGAAACAGAAUUUUAAGAGUUCAAAACCAACAGCAUACAGAAGAGGGCUCCCAGAACAACGCUGGAGCCGUGUUUUAUUUCCUCUAGGGAAGGAGCGCUCGUAACAGAAUUAUCUGUUCUCCAGGCGGUUUCCGUGUAAUUACACUCGUCGUUUCUGCGGCGGGCUGGAUUUGUUGCCACAGCCAGAGGGGCCGCGCUCGGGGCCCCCACGGCCCAUCUGGACCGAGUGCGAGGCCGGGACCCGGCUCAUGCAGAAGCGACACGGGAACGCGACCACAGGGCCACUUUGCUGCUUCUGUGCUUAAACAGGAACGCUGGGCACUUUGUUGGCAACGGCAGACCCCACCGCUGUGACGCCUCCAGCCACAGCGGACACGCCCCCUCUCACCAGCCCUAUUCCCAUGGAAGGCACAGUUGUAACAGCUGUCUUGGUCACCUCCAAACUCUUCCCACCAAUCCAAGCCACACCACCAAUGGUGGCGCCAACAGCUCCCUUAGUGACACUGAAGAUACCCCCGGUCACUCGGGAUAACAUGCCUGGCUGCUGCUGCGGAUGGUCCUUCAUGGCACCUAACGAGAGAAAACAUGAUGAGACAGUCAAAUGCGCUGCCCCCUCGAGCAGCGCACAGCCAUCAGGUGACCUCCCUUCCUCAGGCAGGCGGCACCAGACUGGAGACGAUGAAGAACUGUCACCUCGCAGGGACAGCUGUUUUGGAAAGCAGUACUUCUCAUAAAAGCAUGUUAAUUCUGCUAACAUGGAAUGGGUCUGUUGGGUUUAUUUAGUGAAUAAAAGAUUAAAAUUUCUCCAUUUUUAUUGCUAAUAUGGCAGAGACACAAGCUCUCUGAGGCCUCAAUUUUUGAAUGUAAGAGUGACCUGAAACCAAAGUCUGGGAAUCACUAACUUAAAUACAUUUGGAUCUCUGACCAGCUGUGUCCCUCAAAAUUUAUUUAAAGGGCUAAUGCUGUGACAAGACAGGAAAAUUAAACUAGUCAUUAUUUAAAGUCA